CCUACGGGAGGCAGCAGUGCGGAAUAUUGGUCAAUGGGCGUAAGCCUGAACCAGCCAAGUCGCGUGAGGGAUGAAGGUUCUAUGGAUCGUAAACCUCUUUUAUAAGGGAAUAAAUUGCGGGACGUGUCCCGUUUUGUAUGUACCUUAUGAAUAAGGAUCGGCUAACUCCGUUACAGCAGCCGCGGUACUACGGAGGAUACGAGCGUUAUCCGGGUUUAUUGGGUUUAAAGGUUGCGUAGGCGGCCUUGUAAGUCAGCGGUGAAAGUCUGUGGCUUAACCAUAGAAGUGCCGUUGAAACUGGGAGGCUAGAGUAUGUUUGAGGCAGGCGGAAUGCGUGGUGUAGCGGUGAAAUGCUUAGAUAUCACGCAGAACCCCGAUGGCGAAGGCAGCCUGCCAAGCCAUGACUGACGCUGAUGCACGAAAGCGUGGGGAUCAAACAGGAUUAGAUACCCCGGUAGUC
rnacentral:rRNA from 1 species